rnacentral:SRP_RNA from 1 species
GUUGCGGUGGCGGGUGCCUGUAGUCCCGGCUACUCGGGAGGCUGAGGCGGGAGGAUUGCUUGAGUCCAGGAGUUCUGGGCUGCAGUGAGCUAUGCCGAUCGGGUGUCCGCACUAAGUUCGGCAUCAAUAUGGUGACCUCCCGGGAGCGUGGGACCACCAGGUUGCCUAAAGAGGGGUGAACCAGCCCAGGUCGGAAACGGAGCAGGCCAAAACUCCCGUGUUGAUCAGAAAUCAGAUGUCUCUGCACACCUUUGGGCUGGAAUUCAGAUCCACCCCAAAUACACCUU